rnacentral:tRNA from 1 species
GCUUCUGUAGCUCAGUAGGUAGAGCAAACGGCUGUUAACCGUUAGGUCGCAGGUUCGAGCCCUGUCAGGAGCG